rnacentral:rRNA from 1 species
AUUGAACGCUGGCGGCAUGCCUUACACAUGCAAGUCGAACGGCAGCACGGGAGCAAUCCUGGUGGCGAGUGGCGAACGGGUGAGUAAUAUAUCGGAACGUGCCCAGUAGUGGGGGAUAACUGCUCGAAAGAGCAGCUAAUACCGCAUACGACCUGAGGGUGAAAGGGGGGGAUCGCAAGACCUCUCGCUAUUGGAACGGCCGAUAUCAGAUUAGCUAGUUGGUGGGGUAAAGGCCUACCAAGGCAACGAUCUGUAGUUGGUCUGAGAGGACGACCAGCCACACUGGGACUGAGACACGGCCCAGACUCCUACGGGAGGCAGCAGUGGGGAAUUUUGGACAAUGGGCGCAAGCCUGAUCCAGCAAUGCCGCGUGCAGGAAGAAGGCCUUCGGGUUGUAAACUGCUUUUGUACGGAACGAAACGGUCCUGGUUUAUACCCGGGGCUAAUGACGGUACCGUAAGAAUAAGCACCGGCUAACUACGUGCCAGCCGCCGCGGUAACAC